UGGGGAAUAUUGCACAAUGGGCGCAAGCCUGAUGCAGCCAUGCCGCGUGUAUGAAGAAGGCCUUCGGGUUGUAAAGUACUUUCAGUCGGGAGGAAGGUGUCAAGGUUAAUAACCUUGGCAAUUGACGUUACCGACAGAAGAAGCACCGGCUAACUCCGUGCCAGCAGCCGCGGUAAUACGGAGGGUGCAAGCGUUAAUCGGAAUUACUGGGCGUAAAGCGCACGCAGGCGGUUGAUUGAGUCAGAUGUGAAAUCCCCGGGCUUAACCCGGGAAUUGCAUCUGAUACUGGUCAGCUAGAGUCUUGUAGAGGUGGGUAGAAUGCCAUGUGUAGCGGUGAAAUGCGUAGAGAUGUGGAGGAAUACCGGUGGCGAAGGCGGCCCCCUGGACAAAGACUGACGCUCAGGUGCGAAAGCGUGGGGAGCAAACAGG
rnacentral:rRNA from 1 species